rnacentral:rRNA from 1 species
CCUACCUUGCCCCUUUACACACCUGUGCACCUUUUGNAUGUCCUCGGAAAGAGGAUCUAUGUUUUACUAUCAUCACAUCCAAUGUAUGUCUAGAAUGUGAAUCAACUAUCGAUCUUCACGGGUCGAUAAAUGAUAAAUAAAUAUACAACUUUCAGCAACGGAUCUCUUGGCUCUCGCAUCGAUGAAGAACGCAGCGAAUUGCGAUAAGUAAUGUGAAUUGCAGAUUUUCAGUGAAUCAUCGAAUCUUUGAACGCACCUUGCGCUCCUUGGUAUUCCGAGGAGCAUGCCUGUUUGAGUGUCAUUGAAUUCUCAACCAUGUCUUGAUUGACUUGGAUUGGAGUUGGGGGUUGCUGGCGGCGAAAGCUGUCAGCUCUUCUGAAAUGCAUUAGUGAUGGACUAGCAAGUCUUUGACGUGCACGGCCUCUGACGUGAUAAUGAUCGUCGUGGCUGGAGCGUCUCCUGGUAGUCUAUUUGCUUCCAAAAACCCAGAUGAAUGAUGCCUUUACCUACUAGUCUAUAUAAUGGAUGAACACGAAAAGGCUUUCGUUUUUCCC